UGUAUUGUUUAAUUUUUCUUAGUUUUUUAACUAAAAUAGUUUGGCAGUGAGCGAUUCUUAUUAGGGGAAGGUGUGUUGUAAAGGAUGAUCCGCCUAUUAAUUUACUUUUAUUAUGUUGGUGUAUAUCUGGUUUAAUAUUAUUGUUUAAUAACUGAAUUUGUGUAUAUUUAUUUAAGCCAAGUCUAUGUGCUGCUUGUAAAAGAUUUCAUGCGUUACAUUUAUAUUUAUAUUAUGAAAAUUUAAUUUUUAAUUAGGACUUAAAAGUAAUAUAGAAUGAUUUUGUCUAUG
rnacentral:rRNA from 1 species